ensembl:lncRNA
GCUGGUGAUCUCUGCAUGCUUGAGGUCUUCAAAAGGCAUUCUCAGAUGAUAAGCACCCAGUGGGAUGUGUUUACUCCAGUCUUCAAACCCCCACUGGAUUGGGAUGCCACACGGAAGAGAUUUCCAGGAGAGCCUUAAUUCCCACAGCUUUUUGUUGCCUCUCAGGAAGCCUCCACGUCCUGAAAAAUAGGGAUGGCAUCAGCAUCUCCUGUCCUCAUACAGCAGUGAGCAGGUUUGCCAUCCUCUGAAGUGAUUACAAAUAAUUAAAAGCAUGCUGCAAGUUCUGUACUUUCUCACUGUUGUGCUAGCUCAAAGUGGUUUUGAAGCCACCAGAGGCACUGAAAUCCCAGUGACGGUUUCAUUGACAGAACAAUAGCCUACACAUGCUAUUCUAGAACAAUGUGAAGUUUCAAGCAGCCUUUACAGAGUAUAUGGCUUUAACACUACAAAUAAUCUGCAGCGAUGGCACUGCACUAGGGGUUGUGUCUGUGUGACAAUAGCAGUGUCAUUCUGGAGCCUCACUGCGUGCUUUUAACUCAAGGCAGAAUCCCUGAUGUGAACUCUGUGCCUGCUGCCAGCUCAGAUUCCAACCAAGUCUGCUUUGAAGCCUUCAGGGAAGGGGCAGGUUAAUGUUGCAGUCUCCUGAACUCAAUCUCCAUUGGGUUUUUUUUUUGACCCUCACUGCCAUGUCCCCCAAACCUGCAGAAGAGGGAUCAGCAUCACAAAACUCCUGAGGUGUGAGAAUAAGAAUCCCAUGUUCUUCUCCCAUGGAAGGGGAAGCUGAAGCAGAGGCUGUGAGGAUUGCUUGCACUGACAUUGGGCAGACAUAAGAGUAAGGAAAGGAGGGCAGAAAUUAAAUGUAUAUGCUAUUGGCAAACCACACCAAUGCAGAGGAAAACAUGAUUGGAAGAGAAAACAAAGACGGACACCUGUAUGUCGGUGCUGCUGAGGUGCCACGUUGUGUUGAAUGACCUGCUUCAGUGAGAAGGCCAAAACGAAAUGUAAUAGUGGAAGGACACCCAAAAAAAUGGGAUUCAAAGAGCAUUGGAGGAGUUUUCUUCAAUAUUUUUUUUCCAAGUGAUAAUUAUUAAUUGCAGAGAUGAAAUGGGGAAACUAAAAGUAACAGAAAUGAUAGCAGGUUCCCCUUUCCAAAGCAAAACAAAACAGAGUAUUGAGAAAAAGAGAGAAAAUGCCAAUGGUCUUUGAAGAUUGAGAAGGGAAAAAGGUGUGUUUGCAAGGACACGGUGUGAAAUGUUUGUCAUAAACUCAAAGACUGAAUGUGUUUGGGGAAGAACUCUUCAUAGGUUUCUAUCACUGUGUGCCGUGCUGUUGUAACUGACCAUUUCUGGGGUUGGAAGAGGGGUGACAAUAGGUUACAUGUGAUGAAAAGGCUCCCAGACGUGAUGGGAAGAGAAGUUUUAAAUUAUCUUUCAAAGAUUCAGAGACAUUUGAGGGCAUUUCCUUUACUAGCAGUUUUAUUUUGGUAAGCACAGAGUAAUGAGAUCAGAUUGAGGGUAUUUUGUUUCUGUGUGCCUGUGCUGUCUCCCCACAUGAACAAAAAGC